CUUUCUUUGCUGGCGACCGGCGCACGGGUGAGUAACACGUAUCCAACCUGCCCUUUACUCGGGGAUAGCCUUUCGAAAGAAAGAUUAAUACCCGAUAGUAUAAUGAUUCCGCAUGGUUUCAUUAUUAAAGGAUUCCGGUAAAGGAUGGGGAUGCGUUCCAUUAGGUUGUUGGUGAGGUAACGGCUCGCCAAGCCUUCGAUGGAUAGGGGUUCUGAGAGGAAGGUCCCCCACAUUGGAACUGAGACACGGUCCAA
rnacentral:rRNA from 1 species